rnacentral:rRNA from 1 species
GGAAUUCGAUUCGGUGUGACAAGGCCCGGGAACGUAUUCACCGCAGCGUUGCUGAUCUGCGAUUACUAGCGACUCCGACUUCAUGGGGUCGAGUUGCAGACCCCAAUCCGAGCUGAGACCGGCUUUUUGGGAUUCGCUCCAUCUUGCGAUAUCGCAGCCCUUUGUACCGGCCAUUGUAGCAUGCGUGAAGCCCUGGACAUAAGGGGCAUGAUGACUUGACGUCAUCCCCACCUUCCUCCGAGUUGACCCCGGCAGUCUCCUAUGAGUCCCCGGCAUUACCCGCUGGCAACAUAGGACGAGGGUUGCGCUCGUUGCGGGACUUAACCCAACAUCUCACGACACGAGCUGACGACAGCCAUGCACCACCUGUAUACCGACAAAAGGGGCUCCAUCUCUGGAGCUUUCCGGCAUAUGUCAAACCCAGGUAAGGUUCUUCGCGUUAAUCACUA